CCACAGGUUGAUAACGUACGUUAGCUACCUUAGUGUCACGUUUGCAUGAGCUAACUGUAAAAUGUGAUAUUAAUAUUUAGACGAAAAGCUGCUAACUUUUAUGACUGACGAAUAACUGUAAAAGGUUUGACAUACAAACAUCGAGGGUGGAGAAGAAAAAAAAAUUGUGCACCGUUUAUCGUUGUCCAACUUCACGUCCCGAUGGUUGAUCGACGGCUGGAAGAUGGAAUAUCUCCUCACUGUCAUGACGACGCUCUCUGAAUAUGAGAGAAAAGGGCACAAGGAAAUCAGCCAGAUCAGGAUGAAGAGAAAAUAGCGUUCCUAACUGGCAGCAUCGAGUUUCAGUGGAGACCCAGGUCCUUAGCGUAGCCAGGAAUGCUGCAAUGCCACUUGCAGACUGCAGAGUCCAGGGAGCCCUAAAAAGGGAAGGAGUCUCACUCUGGCAGCUUGGCGAGCAGGGGAGGCUAAAUUAGGCCUGGUUUCA